CAACUGUCAUUUUAGAUUUAAAGCAGAUUAAUGCUGCCAUCUACAGUAGGAUAAGUGCGCUUACACUGAAAUGGACACUAAUGGACAUAUUUACCUCAAUCAGCUACAGCUGGAAUAGAGACUGGAGCACAGAACAAAUAAAGACAACAUGAAAGUUUACCACUGUGCCCAGGUGUGCCAGGAACACCUCCCAUCCACAUGGCACAUGGCUGUCUAUGAUCAGGUUGACUGAUAUCUGUUCCCGGACCCUCAGGCUCUUCCAUGUCCACUCCUCCCUCAGUCCCUUCAUU